CACACUACACAAAGCAUUUCAGAACCCAAACGAUCAUUCUCAGGAAUACUGGUUUCAAACUAAAGUCCUGCUUCAACAUAUUCUCAAAAGAAAAGAAGUACUGCAUCUUUAUUACAAAUAACUAACUUGAAGGCCUAUAAUAAUAGAUUUAUCAGGCCUUUAUAUAUAAUAUUUCUUAUUAGAUGAAUGGCUAUAAAACACAUUCAAUUUGCAUGCAUACUUCAGGAAAAUAAAGCUAAUAAAGGAACUAAAAUGAAUUUGGGAGAAAACAUAAAAAUAAAAAUAAAACUUCAAUAGAUUGUUCAAUUUUCAGCUACAUAGGACAAACAGGCUUGCACUUCGAAGAUCAUUUAUAGUCCAAGAGGUACCUGGAUAUUGAAACAAAACAAAAGGGGAUGAGUAGUUCAACAAUGAGUAGAUCAACAGCUCAAGAGAGAAUAAGAUUCAGCUUCUUCAGACCCUUCUUAACCCCAUAGAAACUAGAAAUCCCUCGAAAAUCUCAGAAGUUCUUACUAACAGAGAAAACCAAGGCACAAUUCCAACCAGUUUCAACAAAAAUAAUGCAGGAACUUUUAGUAUUUUUCAGGAUUCCGAAAAUUUGUCCUUUGGGAGUGAGGGAAGGGUUCUAUAUAUAGCUCUAAAGAGUGCCAUGUGCUGAAAAGAAUAAGGGAAUUAUUCCCUUCAGCCACAAGGCAUCUUUUAACAAACUUGGACAGCUGGCUUCCCCUCAUUGGUUUCAGCAUUUUGUGCUAACCAAAUGAGGCCAUCUACCCCAUAUUCUAGAAUAUUCUAGCAGGGUCUUUAUCCUAUUAUAUUUUCCCACCCUCCAAAUAAACCCCUCAAAUUUCUUAUUUACAAUUAGCCCUCACAAAUUUCAAUUAAGGCUAAAAUAGUUGAAACAAAACUAUUGAACAAAAUAAAUACUGACUUAAGCUAAUUAAGCAAUUAGGCAUACACUAAUUAAACUGAACUAUUUAAAAGUUUAUUAAUCAGGCAUGAAUCAAACCAAGUCAAUGAACCCUAGAAAACUGAUUAAAAUUAGCUAAUGUUAUGACUGAUACCUAUUGGCUGAUUAAUCAAAGAGAAGUUUUAAAUAACAAAAAUUUGAACAAAUUGAACAAACCAAGACACGGCAAACCAACAAUUACCCUAAAAGAAAUCUAACUGAAUCACUGCCUAAUUAAAGGAACUGGCUCAAUUCUCUUAAACACCUAAAUUAACUAAUAAUUAAUGACUAAUCAUUGAACUAAAGAUUGACCACAGAGCGAUGUCAAAAUUUAAGAAAAUGAAAGAGAAAUGAACAAAUAAGAUGGAAUAACAACACAUAGCGAGCAACACUAGGAAGAAGGAGAUUGAAACUAAAAUGAAGAAAAGAAGUGUACCUAUUUAAGAAAACAAAAGGAAUCCAAUGCAGAUUUGGCUCGACUUCGACAUAAUUCGGAAUUGACCCCAAAUGAUUGUUCUUGUCAAGAACAAUCCAUUUGCGGUGAGUUUCGAACUACACGAACAUAAAGGAUCACAUGAAACUGGAACAUGCAAGAACAAAUUUUCUUUUCAUUCUCAGAUCUGAAAUUGGAGAAAUUCGGUGGGGAUUUAAGGGAAACCGUUGAAUGAUUUGGAAAGGAGGGGAGAUGAGGAUUGCAUGGUUAAAUUUUGGGGUGGUUUGGAGCAUCACCGCCGCUGAGGGCAAUUUCCGGUGACAGCGCAUGGUGGUGCCGGCAAGAGAACUUGGGCGGCUAGGGUUUGGACUCUCAGAUGUUAGAGAUG
rnacentral:lncRNA from 1 species